GCGCAGGCGGUUUUGUAAGACAGAGGUGAAAUCCCCGGGCUCAACCUGGGAACUGCCUUUGUGACUGCAAGGCUGGAGUGCGGCGGAGGGGGAUGGAAUUCCGCGUGUAGCACUGAAAUGCGUAGAUAUGCAGAGGAACACCGAUGGCGAAAGCAAUCCCCUGGGCCUGCACUGACGCUCAUGCACGAAAGCGUGGGGAGCAAACAGGAUUACAUACCCUGGUAGUCCACGCCCUAAACGAUGUCAACUGGUUGUUGGGUCUUCACUGACUCACUAACGAAACUAACGCGUGAAGUUGACCGCCUGGGGAGUACGGCCGCGAGGUUGAAACUCAAAGGAAUUGACGGGGACCCGCACAAGCGGUGGAUGAUGUGGUUUAAUUCAAUGCAACGCCAAAAACCUUACCCAGCUUUGACAUGGCAGGAAGUUUCCAGAGAUGGAUUCGUGCCCGAAAGGAAACCUGCACACAGGUGCUGCAUGGCUGUCGUCACCUCGUGACGUGAGAUGUUGGGUUAAGUCCCGCAACGAGCCCAACCCUUGCCAUUAGUUGCUACGAAAGGGCACUCUAAUGGGACUGCCGGUGACAAACCGGAGGAAGGUGGGGAUGACGUCAAGUCCUCAUGGCCCUUAUACGUGGGGCUACACACGUCAUACAAUGGCUGGUACAGAGGGUUGCCAACCCGCGAGGGGGAGCUAAUCACAUAAAGCCAGUCGUACUCCGGAUCGCAGUCUGCAACUCGACUGCGUGAAGUCGGAAUCGCUAGUAAUCGCGCAUCACAAUGUCGCGGUGAAUACGUUCCCGGGUCUCGUACACACCGCCUGUCACACCAUGGUAGCGGGUUCUGCCAGAAGUAUGUAGGCUAACCGUAAGAGAGCGCGC
rnacentral:rRNA from 1 species